UACGGAGGGGGCUAGCGUUGUUCGGAAUUACUGGGCGUAAAGCGCGUGUAGGCGGCUUUGCAAGUCGGGUGUGAAAGCCCUCAGCUUAACUGAGGAAGUGCGCCCGAAACUGCAGCGCUUGAGUACCGGAGAGGAUGGCGGAAUUCCCCAAGUAGAGGUGAAAUUCGUAGAUAUGGGGAGGAACACCGGUGGCGAAGGCGGCCAUCUGGACGGAUACUGACGCUGAGACGCGAAAGCGUGGGUAGCAAACAGG
rnacentral:rRNA from 1 species